rnacentral:lncRNA from 1 species
ACAUUUUCCGAUGUGCCAUUGUCUGCCCUAUGGACAGUCUCAAUUGUGAGAGAGAACUUGGUAAAGUAUGGGCACUGCAACAAUUCAAGACUUAUGAGGGCAUACAAUCAAAGGAAAUCAAGGCAUUUGUCAUAAACAUCCUUAAAAUGUUAGAAGAAAACAAAAUAGUUACCUUGAUCACUGAGAAAUGUAAGACCCAUUCCGUAAACAACAGAAGAAAGAUAAAUGUUAAUACAACUUGCACCAACAAAAUCAAGCAAAGACCAAAAAAAAGAAAGAAAGGAAAAUGGAUUGAGCCUAAUGGACAUUGCAAACCUGUUUUACAUCUUGGGUAUGCAUUCCAUGCUUCCUCUUGCAUUACAAGAGCAUCUUUCGGUGCAAUAGUUGUAAGCCAAGCAGGUGCUUUGCUGCAAAAGUUAGUACAAAAAUAAGAAACAAAAAAGAAAACAACAAAAACCAGUGUUCCAUCUCAAUGAAUAUACACAUACAUACAUGCACAAAUACAUAGAGAGUCUAGAGCAACACUAGAGAAUUAAGGAAUCUAUAUUUUCACCGCUAGUUAUAAAGAAUUACGUCAAUUAACAAUAUAUUGGAUCAUCUUGAAGUAGAAAGGCGAAAAUUCAGUAUCCCUAAUCAGCCUACAGGAUGAAGUAAAG